UGGCCUUUCUAGAAGACUCGUGAAGUCUUUUCUUCUUUCCAACAAUGAAGAAUUUCCAGAAGACUUGUCCGAGUUUCUUUCAUCCAAACUGAAAUUUUUCAAUUUCAUAACUUAACUUCAUCGAUACCGUGUGUUCAAAAUUUUCAAUAAGUACCUUGUGCCAUAGGCAUACAAAGCGAGAGGUUGUGUCUGCUAGCUCAAGCUAAGAUAUUUCGCCAAAGUAGGUAACAUCAAUUUUCCGAGUUGGGAUUUCUAAUACUGCUUUUCAAUCUCAAGAAUCUUAAAAUUAUCGGCUGCCUUAUGACAUGGUUGGAGGCGUGGUCUGAAGCAGAGUUUUGAAAAGAAGACGAGGAAGUGAAUGAACCUCUCUCGAGAUCAAACAGAGAAAGAAAUCGGCCGUGGGUUUUAGUGAAGCACGGAGGAUUCCCGAAGUUGUGCCAUCUGGUCUUUGACCUUUUUUUUUGGUGGCUUACACAUUUCUCUAAUGUGGUUGUCGUACAACACUAACUGUUCCAUUCUGCGGGAAAGGUCAAAAGUAUUGUUGCACUUGGCUGAACUGGUUGAGAAACAUAAUGAUCAAAUUGCAACGUUCGAGACUUGAGACACUGAGAAGCCAUAUGAACAGGCUGUUAAGAUUGGAGUACGCUGGUUGUACAUCCCCGUUAUUAUGCUGGCUAGGCAGAUAAAAUUCUUGAUAUGACUAUUCCUGCUGAAGGACCAUAUUGUAUUCAAACGUUGCAUGAACUGAUUGAAUUUGUUGGUUAGAUUAUCUCAUGAAAUUUUCCUCUCCUCGUGUUCUCUUGGAAGAUGAGCCCUACUUUCACUUGUGGCAGAAAUAUCGUGUUAAAAAUGCUGAGCAGACCCCUUUAACUACACUCUAUGUAGAAAAUCUGUUGCAGGAGGUAGCAUCAAAAUUUUCUCUUUUAUUGCCCAAAAGAGUCGUUUUGCACAGUAAGUCAAGUUUCAGUCUUUUUGGUAUCGUAUCUGAGUGAAAGAAUAUGUUCUUUUUCUUUUCAAUUUUAGAAAAAUAUUCCACAACAGUUGAAGUUUUUCAUUGAUUCUUAUCAAACAACAACAUAUUCAGUGUAAUUUGAUGAGUGGUGAUUGGGGAGGAUAGUGUAUACGCAACCUUAUCAUAUAAGUUCGAUAAUAUGUUAUUUGAAAUUAAUUCUUGAUUCUUGAAUAUAUGAUUUAAGUAUGAACUUGGAAGCAAAGAAUCAAUGCUAAUUCAAGAGAAGGGAACUGUUAAAUGAAUAACUAUUAAGUUGAUAUGCCGGAUUACUACUAAAAAGAUAUGCUGAAAAUAAAAAGAUCCUCUUUAUAACUCAAGAUCACAACUUUUUUCAUCGGUUAAUUUUAGCACUUUUUUAAAAGAUAUAUAAUGGAUCUUUUAUUACAAUCUGUUUGUUCUUGUAAUUUUUGAACUAUAUAACCCAAAGAUAAAUGGAUUAUCCCUCACCUCUUCCAAUUCCAUGGAUAUUUGCUGUCAUUCCCAUACCUUGAGAAGGUAUAUGAGCCUUAUACUCAUGGUUGUGUCCAUGAGCUUACAACUGUCUGAAUAAGUUUGCUUAUGUCUGUUUCUUAUAGAGCAACCAUAUUUGAGUAGAUCUUAUUGAAUCCUGAUGGUUGAGUUGUCAAGAGGCCACAGUUCAUAUUGAUAUGAGUUAGGUCUAUUCAUUUCUUCACCGUCGUCUCCUCAAAACUCCUCUGCUCUUCUGGUAUUUCUUUUUCAAUAAUAGAUGUAGAUAUUGAAAAUUCAAGUUCAUUUAUUUUCCACCUCUCUCUCUCUGGUUUAUGGUAUGUAUGCAUUUAUCAACUUUAUUUUUUCAAGUUUACCUAUUCUAAUUUACGAUAGAGCUAUCUUUUUUUUUCUUCUUUACUCAUUAAUAAUUAGAAAUUGAAUUUGUAUUUGAACUGCAGUUAGCUUUAAACUCAGUAAGAACUACAUUGAGGUACAAUGUACCAUAUAAAGUCGGGGUUUCUUGAUUGACAUACGACAAAUGGAGAGCUCUGACUAUGCAUCGGUCUCUCACCAAAAAGUUUGUUCAAGUUGAGUGAUAUAUUUAGGUGGAAUGCUUUCGAUUUUUAGCCCUCAAAAGAAGAUGAUUGUGUUAUUCUUCAAUAUAUAGAAUCAGAUGUUGUUAUCUUGAGUCAAUUGAAGCAAGUUUCCAAGGUGGAAACUGGAAAUAAUCUGUCAAAACAUGAGAAGGUUCAAAAACUUCUGUCAAAACAUGAGAAGGUUCAAAAACUUGUUAUGUAACAGUGGUUAGAAGCUUUAAGUCGCACAUAUAUUUUUGUCUAAUGUAUGUAAAAACUAUAAUUAGAUCCAAAGUGUAUAUGAACUUAAACAAUUAUUUGUUUAAUCAAAUAUGCUGCAUUAGUAUAUUUAUCAGAUCAACAAUAAAGUUACCUAAUGCAUGUAAUACUUUUAAUCUUUAUAUUUGAAUUGGAUGUCGUUGAAUUAAAUUAAUUAGAUUUCCUUUUGCUAAAGGGCUGUUGCACAUGUAAUUGUAUAUAUGUAAGUAGUAGUGUUGGGCCCGUGCUUAGCACGGGUACAUGCCUGUCUAGUAUAUACAUAUAAAGCUUAAUCUUAGUCAUUGGUAAACAAAAUUGAAAAUAUGGAGAGGUUCAUUGUCAUUGUAGAUAUGUCCAACAGGUUCCAAGGUCAAUCCCUAACUACAUCUGCAAAACCUGCUAAUGGUAAUGUUGCAGAACAAAGUGUGGGUGGAAAUGAAACAAGAAAUACACAAGGACCAGUGUUACAUGAAACAAGAGCUAAAACAGCAACACCUCUAGUGAAACCAGCUUCUCCUAAGACUGGUUGAUUAUUAAUUACUACUACCGUCUUAAUUUAUGU